rnacentral:rRNA from 1 species
GAUGAACGCUGGCGGCGUGCCUAAUACAUGCAAGUCGAGCGAACAGACGAGGAGCUUGCUCCUCUGACGUUAGCGGCGGACGGGUGAGUAACACGUGGAUAACCUACCUAUAAGACUGGGAUAACUUCGGGAAACCGGAGCUAAUACCGGAUAAUAUAUUGAACCGCAUGGUUCAAUAGUGAAAGACGGUUUUGCUGUCACUUAUAGAUGGAUCCGCGCCGCAUUAGCUAGUUGGUAAGGUAACGGCUUACCAAGGCAACGAUGCGUAGCCGACCUGAGAGGGUGAUCGGCCGCACUGGAACUGAGACACGGUCCAGACUCCUACGGGAGGCAGCAGUAGGGAAUCUUCCGCAAUGGGCGAAAGCCUGACGGAGCAACGCCGCGUGAGUGAUGAAGGUCUUCGGAUCGUAAAACUCUGUUAUUAGGGAAGAACAAAUGUGUAAGUAACUAUGCACGUCUCGACGGUACCUAAUCAGAAAGCCACGGCUAACUACGUG